rnacentral:rRNA from 1 species
UGGGGAAUCUUAGACAAUGGGGGAAACCCUGAUCUAGCCAUGCCGCGUGAGCGAUGAAGGCCUUAGGGUUGUAAAGCUCUUUCACCGGUGAAGAUAAUGACGGUAGCCGGAGAAGAAGCCCCGGCUAACUCCGUGCCAGCAGCCGCGGUAAUACGGAGGGGGCUAGCGUUGUUCGGAAUUACUGGGCGUAAAGCGCGCGUAGGCGGGCUGUUAAGUCGGGGGUGAAAUCCCAGGGCUCAACCCUGGAACUGCCUUCGAUACUGGCAGCCUAGAGGACGGGAGAGGCCAGUGGAAUGGCGAGUGUAGAGGUGAAAUUCGUAGAUAUUCGCCGGAACACCAGUGGCGAAGGCGACUGGCUGGCCCGUUUCUGACGCUGAGGUGCGAAAGCGUGGGGAGCAAACA